CAAGAGUAGAUUACUGCAUAGACUUCUUUUCAAGUACACAAGGGAAUGACUGAAUUUCCUGGAAAGAGGUCUCUGCAGAGUCAUUCAGCGACAUACAAGGUUGUUGGCUCACUUCGAGAGGCUGAUUUUGGAAGGGAAUCUGGGGAGCUGAACAACAGAUAUAGGUCAUUAGGAAAACAAGAAGCUCUUUGUGCUGUUGAUCAAGUCAGAAGGUUGCACUGGACUGCAGUCGUUGCUCUUCAUCCAGUACGCAAACACAGAAGAAAAAAAGAAAAAAGAAUGUAA
rnacentral:lncRNA from 1 species